rnacentral:rRNA from 1 species
CGCGCAGGCGGAUUUAUAAGCCAGAUGUGAAAUCUCGGGGCUCAACCCCGAAACUGCGUCUGGAACUGUAGAUCUAGAGUUAUGGAGGGGAGAGCGGAAUUUCGCAUGUAGGGGUAAAAUCCGUAGAGAUGCGAAGGAACACCAGAGCCGAAGGGGGCUCUCUGGCCAUCAACUGACGCUGAGGCGCGAAAGCGUGGGGAGCAAACA